AUUGAACGCUGGCGGCAUGCCUUACACAUGCAAGUCGAACGGUAACGCGGGGCAACCUGGCGACGAGUGGCGAACGGGUGAGUAAUGCAUCGGAACGUGCCCAGUAGUGGGGGAUAGCCCGGCGAAAGCCGGAUUAAUACCGCAUACGACCUAUGGGUGAAAGCGGGGGACCGUAAGGCCUCGCGCUAUUGGAGCGGCCGAUGUCAGAUUAGGUUGUUGGUGGGGUAAAGGCCUACCAAGCCGACGAUCUGUAGCUGGUCUGAGAGGACGACCAGCCACACUGGGACUGAGACACGGCCCAGACUCCUACGGGGGGCAGCAGUGGGGAAUUUUGGACAAUGGGGCAACCCUGAUCCAGCCAUGCCGCGUGCGGGAAGAAGGCCUUCGGGUUGUAAACCGCUUUUGUCAGGGAAGAAACGCUCUGGGUUAAUACCCUGGGGUAAUGACGGUACCUGAAGAAUAAGCACCGGCUAACUACGUGCCAGCCGCCGCCGUAA
rnacentral:rRNA from 1 species